UCCCCAUCAGCCUGUUUUAUGUUUGAAUAUUUUUGGCCUGCGUCCUGCUUUGAGGUCCUUCCUGCCUCGCCUGCACCAGCCGUGACAACCUAGUGUUUUUCUUGAGUUCCUGUGAACUGAUGUCGUUAACUCUACAAUGGCUACACCUGGCUUCAAGACCUAUGUAGCCUUCAUCAGCUAUAAACCUAAAAGUGGCUUGUGAUGCUCUUUAAUGUUUUAAACAGUGAAGCAACUAUCUGCGAGUGGUCUACAGAUAUUUCUUCUGCAAACGACCAAAGCGUCCUUUUAACCAGCAGAUGCUUUGCUGUGGAUUCAGCACCUUAUUUGAUAGGAAGACCAACCCACCUCCACUGUGAAAUGACUCUCAGAACCAUUCUCAGAACGAAAAGCUGACAGGAAUGAGCAGACCGAGCUUCAGAGCAGAGAGAAGGCAGCUGGACAUGUGCCUGGAAAAAAAUCCACAUAUGGGAUGCUGUCACAUGGGGUGUGGAGUGGUAAUAAAUCAAAUGUUAUGUAUCUUCAAAAUGUGUGGAAUAUA